rnacentral:misc_RNA from 1 species
CAACCCUCAGGCCACGCCUGGCGUUGGGGCCCUGCGCUGCAGGCCCCGAAAGACAGCGGCGGGUGCGUCCCACGACCGAACGCAGUAGUUACUUCUCGUUCCGGGCGCGGGCGCAUGCCGGCCGUAAAACACCCCAUUUUACAA